rnacentral:rRNA from 1 species
GACGAACGCUGGCGGCGUGCUUAACACAUGCAAGUCGAGCGGAAAGGCCCUGCUUUUGUGGGGUGCUCGAGUGGCGAACGGGUGAGUAACACGUGAGUAACCUGCCCUUGACUUUGGGAUAACUUCAGGAAACUGGGGCUGAUACCGGAUAGGAGCUCCUGCUGCAUGGUGGGGGUUGGAAAGUUUCGGCGGUUGGGGAUGGACUCGCGGCUUAUCAGCUUGUUGGUGGGGUAGUGGCUUACCAAGGCUUUGACGGGUAGCCGGCCUGAGAGGGUGACCGGCCACAUUGGGACUGAGAUACGGCCCAGACUCCUACGGGAGGCAGCAGUGGGGAAUAUUGCACAAUGGGCGGAAGCCUGAUGCAGCAACGCCGCGUGCGGGAUGACGGCCUUCGGGUUGUAAACCGCUUUCGCCUGUGACGAAGCGUGAGUGACGGUAAUGGGUAAAGAAGCACCGGCUAACUACGUG